GAAGACACCAGCUUCUCAUGAAGAGUCCCACACACUGGCCAGUGCUGAGGUGGGAUCCCUCCAGCUGAAGAACCAGCAGACAGAGGUCAAGCAUUGAAUCGGGAUCCCUCAUGACAGACAGAAGGGCGAUUCAGACCAGUGAGGUGAUACAGAUCUUUCACUGGUACACGGGACUUGCUGAUCAGUCUGCGCUGACUAGCCAGUGAAGCCUUGGGAUCGUCCUGUGUCUGUCUUCCUGACCCUGCAAUUACAAGCAUAUACCACCAUGCUCAGGAUUUUAUGUGGGUGCUGGGAUCAAACUCAAGUGCUCAUAUAGAGAGAUCUCCCCAGCCUAUAUUCCUUUUAUGGCUACAGGGACUCAUGUAGCCUGGGCUAGCCUGUCUUCCCACCUCCCAAAUGCUGGGAUUAUAAUCAUGAGUUAUCAUGUUCCACACCCAGAUGGAGGUGUAUAACUUACA